rnacentral:rRNA from 1 species
GGUCUGCUCACUGAAUAAUUUUAAAGAGCCGCAGUAUACUGACUGUGCAAAGGUAGAAAAUCAAUAGUUUUUUAAUUGAAAACUGGAAUGAAAGAUUAGACGAAAAAUUAGUUUUUUUUAUUUUAAUAAAUUUAAUUUUAAUUUUAAGUGAAAAUGCUUAAAUAUAAUUAAAAGACGAGAAGACCCUAUAGAUUUUUAUUAUUGAAAUAAAUUUAUAAAUCUGAUUUAAUAAAAUAAUUUAAUUGGGGCGAUUUUAUAAUAUAAAUAACUUAAUUACUUAAAACCAUAAAUAAUUGAAUUUUUGAUCUAAAAUUUUUAAAGAAAAGAUUAAAUUACCUUAGGGAUAACAGCGUAAUUUUAUUUAAGAGUUCAUAUCUAUAAUAAAGUUUGCGACCUCGAUGUUGAAUUAAGAUAAUAUAUUGGAGUAGAAAUUAAUAUAAUUAGUCUGUUCGACUAUUAAAUUCUUACGUGAUCUG